AUUGAACGCUGGCGGCAUGCCUUACACAUGCAAGUCGAACGGUAACGCGGGGCAACCUGGCGACGAGUGGCGAACGGGUGAGUAAUGUAUCGGAACGUGCCCAGUUGUGGGGGAUAACUGCUCGAAAGAGCAGCUAAUACCGCAUACGACCUGAGGGUGAAAGCGGGGGAUCGCAAGACCUCGCGCAAUUGGAGCGGCCGAUAUCAGAUUAGGUAGUUGGUGGGGUAAAGGCCCACCAAGCCAACGAUCUGUAGCUGGUCUGAGAGGACGACCAGCCACACUGGGACUGAGACACGGCCCAGACUCCUACGGGAGGCAGCAGUGGGGAAUUUUGGACAAUGGACGCAAGUCUGAUCCAGCCAUGCCGCGUGCGGGAAGAAGGCCUUCGGGUUGUAAACCGCUUUUGUCAGGGAAGAAAAGGCUCUCUCUAAUACAGGGGGCUAAUGACGGUACCUGAAGAAUAAGCACCGGCUAACUACGUGCCAGCCGCCGCGGUAAUAC
rnacentral:rRNA from 1 species